rnacentral:lncRNA from 1 species
CCACAACUGGUCUUAAUUAUUUUUGCAUCCUGGAGUAUUUACCACACAUGAUGUUCAUAAAUAUUUGUAAAUGGAUCAUUGAAUACCUGAUUUCUUCUCUCUACUUUUAUAGACAUCAACAGAAUGGUGUUGGAUGCUUGAGAUCCCAAGGGCUGCCAGAGCUCCCAGUACCAGAAAGCAAAACUCUUUUCCUCUUUUCCAAGGGUUGAAAAGGCAGUGUACAAAGUAGAAGGAGACAAUCAGGUGGAUGAAGCAGCACUUAAUCGCCACACGGAGACUCAGAAACUCAGGGGACUGAUUCUGGAAAAGGGACGAGAAGAAAAGGGAGUACUCAGAUGGUCAGUGACCAUCAGACACCCAUCUCACUUCCAAUGCCACCCGUAAUCUAGUAUCGUCAUUUUCUUUACUAGAAUUUCUAUCUGAAGGCUUUAUUCCAUUUUCCCUUAAGUUGAUUUCUCUGUUUCCCGGGGGACCGGGGUAGGGGGUGGGGUGGCAAGGAAGGUAGGUGUCACUACUGUAGAAC